rnacentral:rRNA from 1 species
GACGAACGCUGGCGGCGUGCUUAACACAUGCAAGUCGAACGGAAAGGCCAUGCUUUUGUGGGGUGCUCGAGUGGCGAACGGGUGAGUAACACGUGAGUAACCUGCCCUUGACUUUGGGAUAACUUCAGGAAACUGGGGCUAAUACCGGAUAGGAGCUCCUGCUGCAUGGUGGGGGUUGGAAAGUUUCGGCGGUUGGGGAUGGACUAGCGGCUUAUCAGCUUGUUGGUGGGGUAGUGGCUUACCAAGGCUUUGACGGGUAGCCGGCCUGAGAGGGUGACCGGCCACAUUGGGACUGAGAGACGGCCCAGACUGCUACGGGAGGCAGCAGUGGGGAAUAUGGCACAAUGGGCGGAAGCGUGAUGCAGCAGCGCCGCGUGCGGGAUGACGGCCUUCGGGUUGUAAACCGCUUUCGCCUGUGACGAAGCGUGAGUGACGGUAAUGGGUAAAGAAGCACCGGCUAACUACGUG